GACGAACCGUGCGAACGUUUAUUCGGAAUCACUGGGCUUAAAGGGUGCGUAGGCUGCGAGGAGGGUGGGGUGUGAAAUCCCUCGGCUUAACCGAGGAAUUGCGCUCCAAACCGCCUUGCUGGAGUGAGACAGAGGUGAGCGGAACUAAUGGUGGAGCGGUGAAAUGCGUUGAUAUACAUUAGGAACACCAGAGGCGAAGGCGGCUCACUGGGUCUCAACUGACGCUGAUGCACGAAAGCUAGGGUAGCGAACGGG
rnacentral:rRNA from 1 species